rnacentral:tRNA from 1 species
UAGAUUAAAGUCCGCCGGUUUGGACAGCUAGCUGUUAAUUAGUUUUUGUGGGAUCGAGGCCCAUUAGUCUAG